rnacentral:rRNA from 1 species
AUUGAACGCUGGCGGCAGGCCUAACACAUGCAAGUCGAACGAGUGGCGGAUGGGUGAGUAAUGUCUGGGAAACUGCCUGAUGGAAGGGGAUAACUACUGGAAACGGUAGCUAAUACCGCAUACCAUGAGAUGUGCCCAGAUGGGAUUAGCUUGUUGGUGGGGUAACGGCUCACCAAGGCGACGAUCCCUAGCUGGUCUGAGAGGAUGACCAGCCACACUGGAACGGAGACACGGUCCAGACUCCUACGGGUGGCAGCAGUGGGGAAUAUUGCACAAUGGGCGCAAACCUGAGUCAGCCAUGCCGCGUGUAUGAAGAAGGCCUUCGGGUUGGAAAGUACUUUCAGCGGGGAGGCGUUACCCGCAGAAGAAGCACCGGCUAACUCCGGGCCAGCAGCCGCGGUAAUUC